rnacentral:rRNA from 1 species
UACGGAGGGGGCAAGCGUUGUUCGGAAUUACUGGGCGUAAAGGGCGCGCAGGCGGCUGCUCAAGUCAGGCGUGAAAGGCCUGGGCUCAACCCGGGAAUUGCGCUUGAGACUGGGCUGGCUUGAGUGCGGGAGAGGAUGGUGGAAUUCCCAGUGUAGAGGUGAAAUUCGUAGAUAUUGGGAAGAACACCGGUGGCGAAGGCGGCCAUCUGGACCGCAACUGACGCUGAGGAGCGAAAGCAUGGGGAGCAAACAGG